GCCUAUACAUGCAAGUUGAGCGCUGAAGGUUGGUACUUGUACCGACUGGAUGAGCAGCGAACGGGUGAGUAACGCGUGGGGAAUCUGCCUUUGAGCGGGGGACAACAUUUGGAAACGAAUGCUAAUACCGCAUAAAAACUUUAAACACAAGUUUUAAGUUUGAAAGAUGCAAUUGCAUCACUCAAAGAUGAUCCCGCGUUGUAUUAGCUAGUUGGUGAGGUAAAGGCUCACCAAGGCGAUGAUACAUAGCCGACCUGAGAGGGUGAUCGGCCACU
rnacentral:rRNA from 1 species